rnacentral:rRNA from 1 species
UUUUAAGUCUGAUGUGAAAGCCCACGGCUCAACCGUGGAGGGUCAUUGGAAACUGGAAAACUUGAGUGCAGAAGAGGAAAGUGGAAUUCCAUGUGUAGCGGUGAAAUGCGCAGAGAUAUGGAGGAACACCAGUGGCGAAGGCGACUUUCUGGUCUGUAACUGACGCUGAUGUGCGAAAGCGUGGGGAUCAAACAGGAUUAGAUACCCUGGUAGUCCACGCCGUAAACGAUGAGUGCUAAGUGUUAGGGGGUUUCCGCCCCUUAGUGCUGCAGCUAACGCAUUAAGCACUCCGCCUGGGGAGUACGACCGCAAGGUUGAAACUCAAAGGAAU